rnacentral:lncRNA from 1 species
UUAAGAUCAACAAGCGUGGUCUGAAACACCCAUCGGAGGAGACUGAGGCAGAGCUGAGCAGAGCAGGGAGCGUACCUGCGGAGAACUGCAGGGGGAGACGGCUAGACUGGGAGGAGACCUGUUCUCUUCAGUAUAGAGGAAGAGAGAGCCAAGAUUCAGCCUGUGAUCAGCAUGCUCAGGGCCAGAUGUGCAAACAGGUAAGUAAUAAUGGGUAAGUCACCUGACUCCUUUGGGCUACAGGGUUCAUCUGCUUUCAGCUCAGCAGGACUACAGAACUCAAAAGGAGUGGCAGUUUGGUGAGGGAAAUGUGUCUUUACACUGGACCACAGUCCA